rnacentral:misc_RNA from 1 species
AACGAGGCCGACCUGCGGCUGAGUUACCUGCGGAAGGAUCAUUACCGAGUUUACAACUCCCAAACCCCUGUGAACAUACCUAUACGUUGCCUCGGCGGAUCAGCCCGCGCCCUGUAAAAAGGGACGGCCCGCCCGAGGACCCUAAACUCUGUUUUUAGUGGAACUUCUGAGUAAAACAAACAAAUAAAUCAAAACUUUCAGCAACGGAUCU